GUAAUAAAAGCUAAUAGUAAAUAAGCGCCAGUCUUGUAAACUGAAGACAAAAAAAUUUUUUUAUUACA
rnacentral:tRNA from 1 species